CGGAAAACUGGGGAUAAUCCCCGAUAGGUCUCGACUGCUGGAAUGCAGUGAGAGCUAAAGCUCCGGCGCCUAAGGAUGGGUCGGCGGCCUAUCAGGUAGUAGUGGGUGUAGCGUACCUACUAGCCUACGACGGGUACGGGUUGUGAGAGCAAGAGCCCGGAGAUGGAUUCUGAGACACGAAUCCAGGCCCUACGGGGUGCAGCAGGCGCGAAAACUUUACAAUGCUGGCAACAGCGAUCAGGGAACCUCGAGUGCCAGGUUACAAAUCUGGCUGUCGCGAUGCCUACAAAGCAUUUCAUAGCAAGGGCCGGGCAAGACCGGUGCAAGCCGCCGCGGUAACA
rnacentral:rRNA from 1 species